GCCCACCGCGGCACUUCUCGUGUACGUCCUGCCAGCAGGGGAAGCCGGUCCGAGUCCGGCGCUGACCCGCAACCGUAGGUCGGGAUCCCCGACGAGCCGGAGCACCUGCGGCAGGCGAGAGGCUCCA
rnacentral:ncRNA from 2 species